rnacentral:rRNA from 1 species
CUUGCUCCCUGAUGUUAGCGGCGGACGGGUGAGUAACACGUGGGUAACCUGCCUGUAAGACUGGGAUAACUCCGGGAAACCGGGGCUAAUACCGGAUGGUUGUUUGAACCGCAUGGUUCAAACAUAAAAGGUGGCUUCGGCUACCACUUACAGAUGGACCCGCGGCGCAUUAGCUAGUUGGUGAGGUAACGGCUCACCAAGGCGACGAUGCGUAGCCGACCUGAGAGGGUGAUCGGCCACACUGGGACUGAGACACGGCCCAGACUCCUACGGGAGGCAGCAGUAGGGAAUCUUCCGCAAUGGACGAAAGUCUGACGGAGCAACGCCGCGUGAGUGAUGAAGGUUUUCGGAUCGUAAAGCUCUGUUGUUAGGGAAGAACAAGUACCGUUCGAAUAGGCGGUACCUUGACGGUACCUAACCAGAAAGCCACGGCUAACUACGUGCC